rnacentral:rRNA from 1 species
GAUGAACGCUGGCGGCGUGCCUAAUACAUGCAAGUCGAGCGAACAGACGAGGAGCUUGCUCCUCUGACGUUAGCGGCGGACGGGUGAGUAACACGUGGAUAACCUACCUAUAAGACUGGGAUAACUUCGGGAAACCGGAGCUAAUACCGGAUAAUAUAUUGAACCGCAUGGUUCAAUAGUGAAAGACGGUUUUGCUGUCACUUAUAGAUGGAUCCGCGCCGCAUUAGCUAGUUGGUAAGGUAACGGCUUACCAAGGCGACGAUUCGUAGCCUACCUGAGAGGGUGAUCGGCCACAAUGGAACUGAGACACGGUCCAGACUCCUACGGGAGGCAGCAGUAGGGAAUCUUCCGCAAUGGGCGAAAGCCUGACGGAGCAACGCCGCGUGAGUGAUGAAGGUCUUCGGAUCGUAAAACUCUGUUAUUAGGGAAGAACAAAUGUGUAAGUAACUAUGCACGUCUUGACGGUACCUAAUCAGAAAGCCACGGCUAACUACGUG